UGCUUCAAAAUAUUACAAUAUUGUAUUGAUUAAAAUGGAAAUUACUUGCGUAAAGUUUAUAAUUGGAAUGAAAUUUACCUCAUCUAUGUAUAAAAUGUAUAUAUAUAGUGAUGAUUACCAAUACUUCCAAUUAUUUGUAACACUGAAGAAUAUAAGGUAGAUAUCGAGGAAGGGAUCAAAAUGUUAUUGGAUUUUAUAAAGAACUAAAAUUACAAUAUUUGUAUUACACAAACAGGAACGAAAUUCAUGGAAUAAAUCAAGGUUUUCAUUACAAUAGAAUAUCGACUUGGGGAAUUUAGAAGGUUAACUACAUUGUACUUUUUAUACAUUGAAGAUGUGAAGUAUAACAAAGGAUUUCUUGUAGUAAGGAAACAGACAAAGUACAGAAAUAAAACUUAUCACACACUCUAUAUACUGUCAGGUCGAUGGUAUCACACACUCUAUAUACUGUCAGGUCGAUGGUAUCACACACUCUAUAUACUGUCAGGUCGAUGGUAUCACACACUCUAUAUACUGUCAGGUCGAUGGUAUCACACACUCUAUAUACUGUCAGGUCGAUGGUAUCACACACUCUAUAUACUGUCAGGUCGAUGGUAUCACACACUCUAUAUACUGUCAGGUCGAUGGUAUCACACACUCUAUAUAC